GCUUUCGUGGUAGAAUGGUGAGCACACUUGGCGUGUAUUCCAGAGGUCCGUGGUUCGAGUCCAGGCGAGGGCA
rnacentral:tRNA from 1 species